rnacentral:rRNA from 1 species
UACGUAGGGGUCGAGCGUUGUCCGGAGUUACUGGGCGUAAAGCGCAUGCAGGCGGCUCAUUACGCAUGGCGUGAAAGCCCCCGGCUCAACCGGGGAGGGUCGUCGUGAACGGGUGAGCUUGAGGGUAUCAGGGGCUGGUGGAAUUCCCGGUGUAGUGGUGAAAUGCGUAGAGAUCGGGAGGAACACCUGUGGCGAAGGCGGCCAGCUGGGAUACACCUGACGCUGAGAUGCGAAGGCGUGGGGAGCGAACGGGAUUAGAUACCCCGGUAGUCCCU